AGAGUUUGAUCAUGGCUCAGAACGAACGCUGGCGGCAGGCUUAACACAUGCAAGUCGAACGCUCAUCUUCGGAUGGGAGUGGCAGACGGGUGAGUAACGCGUGGGAACCUACCCUUUGGUUCGGAAUAACUCAGGGAAACUUGAGCUAAUACCGGAUACGCCCUUUGGGGGAAAGAUUUAUCGCCAUGGGAUGGGCCCGCGUCGGAUUAGCUAGUUGGUGGGGUAAUGGCCUACCAAGGCAACGAUCCGUAGCUGGUCUGAGAGGAUGAUCAGCCACACUGGGACUGAGACACGGCCCAGACUCCUACGGGAGGCAGCAGUGGGGAAUAUUGGACAAUGGGCGCAAGCCUGAUCCAGCCAUGCCGCGUGAGUGAAGAAGGCCUUAGGGUUGUAAAGCUCUUUCAGCGGGGAAGAUAAUGACGGUACCCGCAGAAGAAGCCCCGGCUAACUUCGUGCCAGCAGCCGCGGUAAUACGAAGGGGGCUAGCGUUGUUCGGAAUUACUGGGCGUAAAGCGCGCGUAGGCGGAUGGGUAAGUCAGGGGUGAAAUGCCAGGGCUUAACCUUGGAACUGCCUUUGAUACUGCCGGUCUGGAGUACGGGAGAGGUGAGUGGAAUUCCGAGUGUAGAGGUGAAAUUCGUAGAUAUUCGGAGGAACACCAGAAGCGAAGGCGGCUCACUGGCCCGAUACUGACGCUGAGGCGCGAAAGCGUGGGGAGCAAACAGGAUUAGAUACCCCCGUAGUCC
rnacentral:rRNA from 2 species